GAUGAACGCUGGCGGCGUGCCUAAUACAUGCGAGUCGAGCGAACAGACGAGGAGCUUGCUCCUCUGACGUUAGCGGCGGACGGGUGAGUAACACGUGGAUAACCUACCUAUAAGACUGGGAUAACUUCGGGAAACCGGAGCUACUACUGGAUAAUACUUUCAACGGGUGGUUGCAUUGGGAAAACAGGCUUUGCUUGUCUGUAUUAGUGGGUUCCGCGCCGCAUUAGUUAGUUGGUAAGGUAACGGCUAACCAAGGCAACGAUGCGUAGCCGACCUGAGAGGGUGAUCGGCCACACUGGAACUGAGACACGGUCCAGACUCCUACGGGAGGCAGCAGUAGGGAAUCUUCCGCAAUGGGCGAAAGCCUGACGGAGCAACGCCGCGUGAGUGAUGAAGGUCUUCGGAUCGUAAAACUCUGUUAUUAGGGAAGAACAAAUGUGUAAGUAACUAUGCACGUCUUGACGGUACCUAAUCAGAAAGCCACGGCUAACUACGUG
rnacentral:rRNA from 1 species